GAAUAUUAGUCAAUGCUCGAAAGAGUGAACUAGCUAACUGAAAUCAAUUAUAGAAAUUGAUAACAUAAGGGAAAAUAAUGAUAUUACCUUAUUAUUAGUGUCGUCCAAAACUGGUGCCAGAAGACUCGGUAAGGCCAGAGACACGAACGUUAAUCGUCUUAAUCAGGCGUAAAGGGUUUGUAGGCGGCUUUAAAUUUACUUUAUAAUUUUAAAAAUAAAAUAAUACAAGUAACGAAUAAAAGCUAGAAUCAAAUAGAGGAUAUUUAAAAUAAUGCUUAGAGUAGGUCUGAUAUCCUUAGAGACUAAGUAGAGUAUUAAAGGCGAAAGCUUUUUUCCAUUAAUGAUUGACGCUCAGAAACGAAAGUGAGGAUAGGAAAUAGGAUUAGAUACCCAAAAUACCCCUCUCUGUCAACGAUGAAUGGUAGUUAUUAGUAAUAAAUUUAUUAAUGGCAAUGUUAACACGAUAACCAUUCCGCCUUGUGAGUACAACUGCAAAGUUGAAAACAAAAAAAUUAGUCGGUUUCGGAGCAAACGAAGUGAAGCAUGUUAUUUAAUUC
rnacentral:rRNA from 1 species